ACCAGGUAUCUUGGCUGGCACAUGGCUUCUGUUGUGGUUCAAUCUGAAGAGUUGGAAUGGAGAAGGAGCCAUCCACCCUCAGCGGGACCCUUUCUUUGGGGGACCUCCAGUCAAAGCUUCCCUGCAACUGUGUCGGCUGCUGACUUGGGUUCAAGGCUGAGUAUUGCCUGGCAGGCUCGGCAAGCCUCACCCUGCUUCCAUCAACACCCUGGGGCUCCCAGCCCCUCGAGUGGAGAAGCUUCGUGUCUGCAGGACGUUGGAAGACGAGGCUGAUCCUGAUGGAUUGUGUUGAGCUCUCAGUGGAUGUGUGAAGGAGUUUAUCCACAAGUCCCUCUUGCUGUGAGCUCUUUUUACAGACACGCUACAGUAACGAGCAGAACUACUCUAUUUAAAUAUGCAUGGAUGUGGAAGAAGGCCAAUUCCUUGCUCAGACAUACCAGCCCUGGCCAAGAUCCAGAACUGCAA
rnacentral:lncRNA from 1 species